UCCAGCCUGAGUGACAGAGUGAGACUCAACUAUAAACAAACAAACAAACAAACAAAUAAAUAAAGGGCCUCCUUGGAGGCCCAACACAUCAGGGACAUCUCAUCCACCGCUUACUCCUCCCAAGCCCAGCAGAGCAGGGAGGGUGGCGGAGCAUUUGCCCAGUGUGCACGGCUAAUGCCAUCCCGUCCACGUGAUCAAGUGGUACCUGGAAGAACCUGACAAGGCAGCUCCAGACUAAGGACAAGUCAACCCCUUUUCUAGCCUGUUUCCUCAUGGUGAACUGACAGGGUGGGACUAGAACUCACAAGUGGCCAGGCCAGCAUUGGAAGCCAGCUCUGCCUGCCCGCACAGGCCUGGACGCCCAGCCACAACCUGGUGUCCCCUCUGCCCAGCUCUCGCCUUGGCUCUCAGCUCCAAGAGGAUCACCUGGAAUCCAUCAUUGUCCACUGGAACUUUCUAUGAUGAUGGAAAUGCAUGCAGUUCUGCACUGUCGAAUACAGUGGUAGUCAGUAGCCAUAAGUGGCUACUGAGCACUCAAAAUGUGCCUAGCGCAACUAAGAAACUGAAUUUAUUUUAUUUUAUUUUAUUUUAAAAAUAAAGGCUAGUCUCAAACUCCCAACCGCAGGUAAUCUGCCCGCCUCAGUCUCCCAAAGUGCUGGGAUCACAGGUGUGAGCCACUGCGCCCGGCCUGAAGAUCCUUUCUAACAGAAUCAGAAUUGCACUGAUCGGAAGCAUGUCAGAGAUGCUGGUAGCUCUCUUGGAAUCCCAGUUAUUUUAGGAAGGAGUGCCUGAAUGAUCCAUGAGUGAAAAAGCCUAUCUUUGGCUUUAAGAUCAGUGGCCAGUUCCAUCUGGGAAGAAUUUAAGUGAUGAGUUAGGUCACUGGAGGCAUCCAUUUGGCAACUGUACAAUGAACAUCUAUGAUAGGUCAGGCUCUGGAGAAACAGAAACACACAUCUGGUCCUCGCUCUUGAGGAGCCCCCAGUCUGGGGACUGAUUUCUCAGUAAAGGGUGGGUAGACAAAGGUGCUCCCUCGAAGGAGAGCCCAAGGGUGCAGCAUCUGGGCUUGGAGUUUGACUGACAGCCCUCCCCCACAUUGAGGUCACGGUGAGUGAGGGCACAGGACAGGGCCCUCCAGCCCUUAUGCUCAGUCACUGGUGGAGCAUGAGUGGCAGCUGCCAAAGGGACAUGUUGACCAUCUUCUGUCCUUCUUUCUGACUUCAUAGCUUUGAACCCAGGGUGAGUCUGGGAUCCUCUAGAUUCCCCUAUGCUAUUGCCCCAAAUAGCUUCCAUGGGGUGGUUUGAAACAUAAAAACCAUCAGCUUUCAUCAACACUUCCCUCUAGAGGCUCAGAGAACCUUAAUUUCUUUUAAGGCACAGCUUACCUAAAGUGUGCAGCCACUAACUGCACAGCUCGAUGAAUGUUUACACACAUACCCUCCUGUGUUAACCAGCACUCAGAUCAAGACAGAGAAUAUUUCCAAAACCCCAGAAGGCUCCCCGGGCCCCUUUUCAGUUAAUACCUCCAAGGUUACUACUAUUUAGACUUCUAUCACAUAGAUUAGUUCUGCCUGUUCUAGAAUUUCAUACAGAUGGAGUCAUACGGUAUGUGCCCUUCAUUCGUGUUUGGGAGAUUCAUCCAUAUUACUGUG
rnacentral:lncRNA from 1 species